rnacentral:sRNA from 1 species
UUUAAAUUAUUAAUGACCAUUUUAUCUUUAUUUGAAAAUGUUUUCGGUUAACAUAAUGAAAUAUUGAUUUUUUCCGCCAAAAAUAUUCCGACGAUACUUCUUAUUUAAUUGUAUAUAAAAAGAUAGGUUGAACUUCUUGCCUUGUUAAAAACCUACAGAAGCCAUUAUCAUGAAUCGGAACAAAGGAGUGCGUAAAGAAUACCACAUCUCUCUAUUAAAAUUUUAGAAGCAGGCAACAUAUGCUCCUUUUGUCUGGCCUCAUAUCCAGUGAAUAAUCCACAUCAUUUCACAAAAAGCAAUCCUCGUGCCAACAUAAUUGAUGCACAAGAAUAUGUAAUAUGCAUACGUUUAACACCAUGUGAGCCCAAGGUUGACAACACAUAUUGAAGCUUGCCAAGUUUUCUCAAUCUAGCAAUAGUUGAUUCCGAAAGACAUUUCUAUUGGGAGAUCGAUGAGAUCGACCCAAACCGAAUUGAGACACAUAGAAAUUACAAACCAAAAUUAAGAUAUAAUUAUGGAGAUAUUGUGGACUGUGAAUAUACGAGUUUAUAAAAUUUGAUAUUAUGUCUUAUUAUAUUAUUUACAUUUAAGUUUAUCAUUUUAAGAGAACUUAGAUUUAUUUCAUCUCUUUAUAAGACAAUAAAUCUUGCAUCUUUAUUCUGAUGAGAGUCUAACAUAAUUCUUCCUAAACAUUUUUAUUUUCUUUACUCUCAUCAAUUUAUCGGUUACUGAAACUGUCUCAACCCAUAGGCCUACACAUCGAAAACCUUUCCACUUGUGCUCUCUUGGAGUUAUCAUCUAUCGCUUUUGGAAUUGGUAUAUACAUGUACUACAUCAGUAGA